rnacentral:lncRNA from 1 species
CAGGAUACCAUUUCCAGCCUGAGGCCCAGAGUGGCCAAGGUUGGGUCACAACUGCCGGUGGCAUCUCUUCCCUGAGGCUCAGGUGACAUCUCUCAUCUCCAUGGUCUCAAUUAGCACUGGGGCUGUUUUUAUUAGAAUUCCUUUCAGAAGUGACAUGAAACGUGUCUUGAAAGGAAACCCGGCUUCCAUUCGCUCUCCUUUUAGCCAUCAUAACACAUUUCCAUUUCAAUGGGGUCUCUUUUCUUUUUGUGCGUUGGGUUUCAAAACCCGGAACAUGAAGGAGCAGCUGGAGAGGCCGAGUCCCGCUGCUGCUGUCUCUGCUCAGCCUUCAGCUCCCUGUGGGCCGGUCUUUUCCUCGGGAGAGAGGGGCAAGCUUCUCCCCGCCGCCUCUGCCCCAGCGCCCCCCAGCCUGGCGCCUGGCACCCACCACCCUUCCUGCCUUUCCCGGGCCGUGCACAGACCCCGGCUGCUCGGGAAGGCUCCUCGGGAAGAGUAAGACAGAGGGAGGACUGGAUCCACUUCCAUCAGCCCCAGAGCCUGGCUGUCCCCCACUGCUCUCUCCACCCUCCUCCGUGACCCCCCAAGAUGCCUUUGAUGAUGGUAAAAAUGGCCGCAGUGCCGCCAACGGAGGGGAGAUGACGGCUGCUGGCAAUUGAACUGUGUCCCCCAGGAAAGAGACCUUCGUGUCCUGACCCCUGCACUUCAGAAGUGAGCUCAGUGGAAGAUAAGGCCAUCGCAGAGUUCAAAUGAGGUCAUUAGGGUGAGCAUUCGUGCAAUACGACGGAUCGCCUUAGGGAAAGGGGCGAUUUGGGACCAGAGAUGACACUUGGGGAAGAGGAUGUGAGGGGACACGGGGGGAUGGCCAUCUGCAGGCCGGACAUCUAUCUACUGAGGCUACCAGAUGUCCAGAGAGAGGCCUGGGAUGUCCCAGCAGCUCCAGGGGACGCAGCCUGCUGACACCUCGGCUGGGCGCUUCCGGCCUUGGGAACCGGGGACAGCACUUGUGCUGGUCUAAGCCGUCGGGUUUGCAGUGCCAGUUGCAGCAGCCCAGGGACACUAAAGCACUGAGGGUGGCAGGGAGGUGCAGGCAUGAGGGCUGGGCUGAGGCCUGGCUGGAAGGGCUGCCCAGGCAGGGACUACACGUCCCAGAGACCCCGGCCUCUGGGUGGGGCCACGGGACCAGUUCCACUCCAGUGGCUGGACAGGGUGGCGGGGCUGCAAGCCGCUCGACCCCGCAGAGCCUGCCGGUGCUCUCCCUGCAGCUGGCCGUCCCCGUGGCCAGGCAGUGCACAUUCACCCCAGCUGCAUAAGGCAAGGAGCACUGGAGGAGGGUGCCAGCCCCGGGGGUGUCAUCGCCGGGCUCUCACAGCCACCUCCUGUUCAACCAGCACAAAGGCACGGCCACGGGUCCCCUCCCGGCUACUGCCUACCCAUGCCAGGCCCUCGUGGGCUCCCACCUGGACACUGCCAGGUCCUGCCUGCCCUCAGGCACUGCGCUCCACCCGGCCACGGCAGCCCCUGCUUAGGGACGUUCCCCACACUUCUGCUGAAGGCAGCCCCUCAGCUUUAAGGGCGAGACCGACUUUGGUCAGAGGCCACAGGGGGUGUGCAGGGCGGUGGUUAAGACUUGGACUUUGAAGCCAGGUGACCUUGGUCAAGAUUGUGUUUCCAGCAGGACUCUGAAUGAGCUACACGGUCUCUCUGAGCCUCACUUUGCUGGUCUAUCACCUAGAGAUGAUAACAGUACGUACGUUUGGAACCGUGAGAAGAGACCAGUCGGUGCGGGAAAGUGCUGGUGUAGGGCCUGGUGUGUGCUUAGCCAGGGGUCUGUCAAUCAUUUUCCUUCCGACUGACCAGGACAUUUUCCUCUGAGAAUGGCACCUGCUCCCACUGCCCUCUACCCCGCCCACUGUGUUUCCUUUUAGGCUUGGCCAGGAUGAUCUGGGUUUCCUGUCAUUUGUGCCCAACAACCCUUGACCCACUGGGGCCGCCGGCUCAUCCUCUCCUGUUCCAGGCUUCAGCCCUCUGCUCCUGCCUCCCGACCUGCCCUCCCACAGAGUGUCCCCACUGUCUUUCUUCCUGCUCUGCCCAGAUGCCACAGUGCCUUCAGGGGACCUGAGAAACUCCAGCCUUGAAGGCAGCGCUGGGGAAGAGGUGACCCUGAGUCAGAACCGGGUGAGUUUCAUCCCUGCCCCUCUCCUGAGUGAUCAUGGCCUUAGGAUCCGACCCAAGCCGUGAUUCAUUGCUGGGACACCUGCCGAUGUCACAGCAGCCCCACAGGGCUCUUAAAUGGAUGGAGUGUGGUAGUUCCUGAGAAGGGUUGGUGGGUACACAGAGGGUGCCCAAUGGUUGUUGGUCGACAUGGAUCUGGCCCUGCACUUCACCUCCAGAAGGGCAGGCAUGAACCCCGGGGAAAUCUUACCACCAGCUUCGCUCUGGGAAAGGGAAAUAGAAACUAUCCUAAUUCCAAAGAGUAAAUGUCAGAGGCUUGGGAAGGACCGAGAGAGGGGGACGGGAGGGAGAG